AGCCUUGUGGACAAGUAGAUUAAGUCGCUCUGAUUCUCAGUCAGAGAGAAGCGGGUGCAACUCCCGUCGAGGCUUCCA
rnacentral:tRNA from 3 species